rnacentral:rRNA from 1 species
UGGGUGUGGAAGCACUGUGAGGUGUGGAGCUGACCGGUACUAAUCGAUCGAGGGCUUGUCCAUCA